ACGAUGGAGCACGAAAUGUCUAAGGAUCAAGUAUAUCGUUGGAUCAAAUAUGCUGUAAAUAGCUUGAGAUCUUCCUGGAUAUGAGAUUUUCAAUAUUUCGAGAGUACUUUGAUGAAAUGUGUAGAAGGAACAGAAGCAUCUCGAAAAGAGAAAAUCUAGAUAAGACAGAUUGGAAUCUUUUAUCGAGUGUUAUAUUUUGAGAAAUCUAAGAGGAGUAUUUCGUGGAAGAAAGAAGCUAGAUUAGAUAGGUUAAAAAUAUAUUUAUAAUUUUAUGAAGUAUUUCGAGAAAAAGGUAGAC